rnacentral:tRNA from 1 species
GGCACUGUGGCUUAGUUGGUUAAAGCACCUGUCUAGUACAGGAAAUUCUGGGUUCAAAUCCCAGCAGUGCCU